rnacentral:sRNA from 1 species
GCUGGGGAUAGUGGCGCAUGCCUGUAAUUCCAAUGACUUGGGAGGCUGAGGCAGGAGGAUCGUGAGUUCAGAGCCAGCCUCAGCAACUUAGCAAGACCCUAAACAACUUAGUGAGACUUUGUCUCUA